rnacentral:rRNA from 1 species
AAUAGAUACCCCGGUAGUCCACGCCGUAAACGAUGAGUGCUAAGUGUUGGAGGGUUUCCGCCCUUCAGUGCUGCAGCUAACGCAUUAAGCACUCCGCCUGGGGAGUACGGUCGCAAGACUGAAACUCAAAGGAAUUGACGGGGGCCCGCACAAGCGGUGGAGCAUGUGGUUUAAUUCGAAGCAACGCGAAGAACCUUACCAGGUCUUGACAUCUCCUGACCGCCCUGGAGACAGGGUCUUCCCUUCGGGGACAGGAUGACAGGUGGUGCAUGGUUGUCGUCAGCUCGUGUCGUGAGAUGUUGGGUUAAGUCCCGCAACGAGCGCAACCCUUGGUUCUAGUUGCCAGCAUUGAGUUGGGCACUCUAGAGCGACUGCCGGCGACAAGUCGGAGGAAGGUGGGGAUGACGUCAAAUCAUCAUGCCCCUUAUGACCUGGGCUACACACGUGCUACAAUGGAUGGUACAAAGGGCAGCAAAGCGGCGACGCAUGAGCGAAUCCCAGAAAACCAUUCUCAGUUCGGAUUG